rnacentral:rRNA from 1 species
AUGUCUGGAAGCACGGGAGAACGUUCUUUUGCUGAUAUUAUUACCAGUAUUCGAUACUGGGUUAUUCAUAGCAUUACUAUACCUUCCCUAUUCAUUGCGGGUUGGUUAUUUGUCAGUACGGGUUUAGCUUAUGACGUGUUUGGAAGUCCUAGGCCAAACGAGUAUUUCACGGAAAGCCGACAAGGAAUUCCGUUAAUAACCGACCGUUUUGAUUCUUUAGAACAACUCGACGAAUUUAGUAGAUCCUUUUAG